GAUGAACGCUGGCGGCGUGCCUAAUACAUGCAAGUCGAGCGAACAGACGAGGAGCUUGCUCCUCUGACGUUAGCGGCGGACGGGUGAGUAACACGUGGAUAACCUACCUAUAAGACUGGGAUAACUUCGGGAAACCGGAGCUAAUACCGGAUAAUAUAUUGAACCGCAUGGUUCAAUAGUGAAAGACGGUUUUGCUGUCACUUAUAGAUGGAUCCGCGCCGCAUUAGCUAGUUGGUAAGGUAACGGCUUACCAAGGCGACGAUGCGUAGCCGACCUGAGAGGGUGAUCGGCCACACUGGAACUGAGACACGGUCCAGACUCCUACGGGAGGCAGCAGUAGGGAAUCUUCCGCAAAGGGCGAAAGCCUGACGGAGCAACGCCGCGUGAGUGAUGAAGGUCUUCGGAUCGUAAAACUCUGUUAUUAGGGAAGAACAAAUGUGUAAGUAACUAUGCACGUCUUGACGGUACCUAAUUAGAAAGCCACGGCUAACUACGUG
rnacentral:rRNA from 1 species